CUACAGAUAUUAAUACUUGAUGCAAAAGGGACCUGGUUCUCAGAAGAGAAAAACUACAUAAUCCAGAAGACUUUCACUGCAAGUCACGAGACUGCCCCUUCUUUACUGCUCAUCACUGCAUCUUCCCUGCAUCAUUAGAGUUAACAGGAUACAGCACUGAAAGCAGUAGUACACUGAAGAGCACUGAGAGACUGAAGCAUGCCAUGGUACAGAAGGAACCGGAUACCUUGAUGGGUCAUGGCAGACAAUGCCAUUUUUGCAGUGAAUGUUAAAACAAUUGUCAUGAUGUAUUAUGACAGAAUGCAAGACUCAGUGAGAAUUUUAACAGCCAAAACAUCUGGUGGGUAACAGAGGAAGCCAAACAGUUAUAUUCACCAACAAUACUUCAGUUUCAGUUAUAUACAGAAAUAACAAAAGGAGCAGGCAGAAG